rnacentral:rRNA from 1 species
GAGGGAAUAUUGGUUAAUGUGCGAAAGCGCGAACCAGCAACGCCGCGUGUGCGAUGAAGGCCUUCGGGUUGUAGAGCACUUUUAGAGGGAAUGAGGAAGGACAGUACCCUCAGAAUAAGCCUCGGCUAACUACGUGCCAGCAGCCGCGGUAAUACGUAGGAGGCGAGCGUUAUCCGGAUUUACUGGGCGUAAAGCGCGUGUAGGUGGUUCUGUAAGUAGGGCGUGAAAGCUCCUGGCUCAACUGGGAGAGGCCGUUCUAAACUGCAGAGCUAGAGGAUGGUAGAGGGAAGUGGAAUUCCGGGUGUAGCGGUGGAAUGCGCAGAUAUCCGGAGGAACACCAGAGGCGAAAGCGGCCUCCUGGGCCAUUUCUGACGCUAAGACGCGAAAGCUAGGGUAGCAAACG